rnacentral:misc_RNA from 1 species
GAUGAAGAACGUAGCGAAAUGCGCUACUUGGUGUGAAUUCCAGAAUCCCGUGAACCAUCGAGUCUUUGAACGCAAGUUGCGCCCGAAGCCAUCAGGUUGAGGGCACGUCUGCCUGGGCGUCACAUAUCGUUGCCCAAUGCCUAUUGCAGUGCAAUAGGAAUUUCUAGGGCGAAUGAUGGCUUCCCGUGAGCGUUGUUGCCUCGCGGUUGGUUGAAAAUCGAGUCCUUGGUAGGGUGUGCCAUGGUAGAUGGUGGUCGAGUUAGAACGAUACCGAUCAUGUGCAUGCUCCCCAAAAUAUGGCCUCUAUGACCCACACGCGUCUUUUGACGCUCAUGACGAGACCUCAGGUCAGGCGGGGCUACCCGCUGAAUUUAAGCAUAUCAAUAAGCGGAGGA